rnacentral:rRNA from 1 species
UGAGUAACCUGCCCUUAACUCUGGGAUAAGCCUGGGAAACUGGGUCUAAUACUGGAUAUGACUCCUCAUCGCAUGGUGGGGGGUGGAAAGCUUUUUUGUGGUUUUGGAUGGACUCGCGGCCUAUCAGCUUGUUGGUGAGGUAAUGGCUCACCAAGGCGACGACGGGUAGCCGGCCUAAGAGGGUAACCGGCCACACUGGGGCUGAGACACGGCCCAGACUCCGUACGGGAGCAG